UACGGAGGGUGCAAGCGUUAAUCGGAAUUACUGGGCGUAAAGCGCGCGUAGGCGGUUUGUUAAGUUGGAUGUGAAAGCCCUGGGCUCAACCUGGGAACUGCAUUCAAAACUGGCAGGCUAGAGUACGAGAGAGGGGGGUAGAAUUUCUAGUGUAGCGGUGAAAUGCGUAGAUAUUAGAAGGAAUACCAGUGGCGAAGGCGGCCCCCUGGCUCGAUACUGACGCUGAGGUGCGAAAGCGUGGGGAGCAAACAGG
rnacentral:rRNA from 1 species